rnacentral:lncRNA from 1 species
UUCAACCAAUAUCCUUCCUAUUCCAGAUGCGAGAUGCGAUUGCGGUAGUCGCUCAAGUUAACGAAGGCUUCGAAGGAAAAAUAGGAAAGCAGUAUAGAAGGAACGAAUAGGAAAGCCAAAGACAUGAAGAGGAAAGCCGAAGAAGACUUGCAGAUGAUUGAAUAAAGAAGGAAGAAGAAAGCAGGUAAGAUUGAAUGAAGAGGAAAGUCGGUAAGAAGAAGAGGUCUUUCCUUCCCUUCGGUCAGUACGUAAGUCAAGCUAUCAUUCAAGUCAGUAAGUACGUCAAGACAUCAUUCCUUCAGUCAGUCAUUCAUUCCCUCCUUCGGGAACAAAAUACUUUAGACCUGUUCACAUACAAUUUAGACCUCUAACAAGAUAAAAAGACAGGUUGAAAAUGGCUAACGGACUUGAUCAAUUACAGAUAGAGUUGAAUGACAAGGAAAGAAGAUUUUAUACGCAUAACUUUUUUUUUGAGGGACUUGAACACGCUAUUGAAGAGCCCCUUCGGUCUUAUCUCAACUAUUCAUACUACCGCUCCAGCUUGGCCCUCUCCCCGAGAGUGCCUUCGCUUCCGCUCUCUUAACUCAAACUUCAACCUGAAUAGAAACAUAUGAUAGAGCUGGCUUUAAACGCUAGGAAAGAGAAAUGGACUAUGACCCUACCUGCUUGAGCUGGAAGACUGACUGAAGUAAAGAGAUUCAAAUCACAGCUAACUGGCCUGACGGGACUGGAAACUGAGGGAAAGAAGAUUUGAAACACAAAGUCGGAGCUUAAGGCCGGACGAAAGAGAAGAUAGAUUAGAUUACAGCGGUAGCGGGUCGAGCCCUACGGGGUGUGCCUUCGGUCUUUAGUCCACCUCUUCUUUCUACGCUGACCUACCCUUCGUCUAUUCUCAAGAGGUCGUUACCGUUCUUCC